rnacentral:rRNA from 1 species
CACCGCGGUUAUACGAGAGGCUCAAGUUGUUAGACACCGGCGUAAAGCGUGGUUAAGAUUCCCCGAACACUAAAGUCAAACACCUUCCACACUGUUAUACGUUCACGAAGGUAGGAAGCCCGAUCACGAAAGUAACUUUAUUAUAUCUGAAUCCACGAAAGCUAGGGUA